CCUACGGGUGGCUGCAGUGGGGAAUAUUGGACAAUGGGCGAAAGCCUGAUCCAGCCAUGCCGCGUGUGUGAAGAAGGCCUUCGGGUUGUAAAGCACUUUCAGUGGGGAAGAAAGCCUUGGGGCUAAUACCCUCGAGGAAGGACAUCACCCACAGAAGAAGCACCGGCUAACUCCGUGCCAGCAGCCGCGGUAAUACGGAGGGUGCGAGCGUUAAUCGGAAUUACUGGGCGUAAAGCGCGCGUAGGCGGUCUGAUAAGCCGGUUGUGAAAGCCCCGGGCUCAACCUGGGAACGGCAUCCGGAACUGUCAGGCUAGAGUGCAGGAGAGGAAGGUAGAAUUCCCGGUGUAGCGGUGAAAUGCGUAGAGAGCGGGAGGAAUACCAGUGGCGAAGGCGGCCUUCUGGACUGACACUGACGCUGAGGUGCGAAAGCGUGGGUAGCAAACAGGAUUAGAUACCCGUGUAGUC
rnacentral:rRNA from 1 species